rnacentral:lncRNA from 1 species
GUGCACUUCCGGCCCCCGAAGCCUCAGCGAGGGAGUCUCCGGGAGGCGCGGCGGGGAGUAGGCAGUGUGUUGCUGACCUCUGGCGGUCGCUCUGCGGCACUUCGCACCUUCUUUGUGCUCAGGAGCGGUGAGUGUCAGUUCGGCGGCUGAGCCCCCAGUAAGGGCGUGGUUCCGGGCCAACGGGAGGACGUGCUGAUGGCGCUGCUUUCUUCCUUCCCCACCGCAGCUGUUUCCGACUCGCGCGCUGAACCCACCACUACCCCUCGGCCCACGCCCCUGGCAGUUUUCACGGCAUAAGCCCGGCAAGAGCAUCAUUUUGGUUGUCCUGGGGGGUUUUGGGGGUUAGCUCCUUUAUUGCUAACCUCAUUUGCACAUUCCAUGGUGGGCAGGACAGUGGAUUGAGUUUUUUACACUGGGCCCUAGUAGUUCCAUGUUCCUGUCUGAUGUCAUGACUUCUCAUUCUAUAUAUGGCCCAGAAUUUUGAGCAACUGGGCACUGACCUGAGGAUUCUAUUUAUCUGCUGUGGUUCCUUUACUGGGGUUCUCCGCUGUGGGUUCUCUAGUCCGGAUGCACUAGCUCUUCCCUGAGUCUUGUUUGCCCCUUUUUCUAAUUCUGGAUGAUAUUGACUGCUCCCCCAGUAUGUGCCACCUCUUGCUCACUGCCUCGCCCCCAGCAUCGCAGUGGCUCACACCUGAAAUCUCAGCACUUUGGGAAGCUGAGGCGGGCUGAUCACCUGA